GACGAACGCUGGCGGCGUGCUUAACACAUGCAAGUCGAACGGUAAGGCCCUUCGGGGUACACGAGUGGCGAACGGGUGAGUAACACGUGGGUGAUCUGCCCUGCACUUCGGGAUAAGCCUGGGAAACCGGGUCUAAUACCGGAUAGGACUCCGGACUGCAUGGUCUGGGGUGGGAAGCUUUUGCGGUGUGGGAUGGGCCCGCGGCCUAUCAGCUUGUUGGUGGGGUGAUGGCCUACCAAGGCGACGACGGGUAGCCGGCCUGAGAGGGUGACCGGCCACACUGGGACUGAGAUACGGCCCAGACUCCUACGGGAGGCAGCAGUGGGGAAUAUUGCACAAUGGGCGCAAGCCUGAUGCAGCGACGCCGCGUGAGGGAUGACGGCCUUCGGGUUGUAAACCUCUUUCAGCAUCGACGAAGCGAAAGUGACGGUAGGUGCAGAAGAAGGACCGGCCAACUACGUGCCAGCAGCCGCCGUAA
rnacentral:rRNA from 1 species